GUGUGUAUCUGCGCAUGUGGAGUGUUAGAGUGCCAUACAAUUUGUGGUGAAUUAGAUUGUUCUAAAAGCAUCUCUCAAUAAGAGGCUAGUGAAUGCGUUUGCCCUAAUGGCCUGCCAUUUUAUAUUUCUUUAAUGAAGUUACGGAAGAGGGGAAAAUGGUCAACCCCACCGUGGACUUCCAAACCCACACGCACACGCACAGUACUCUCCAUUUUCAUUCAGAGUGCUGACAUUAACCUCAGCUAAUUCUGUGUGUCAGAGAGGAACUGAUGCUGCAUAGCGCACACAGGGAGAACACGGUUUUGUGUGUUUCUGACCGUGCGAUUUUGUACGUGUGUACGUAUCUAUACACAGCCAAACUUACCAACACUGUAAUGGGCCACAGCAUAAUAAUGUGAUCCCAUCUUACCCUAGAACGACAAUCCCAUUUCGAGCAUGCUUCAACACCUUGCUUAAACUCCAACAUAUUCACGCGUGGAUGAGUUGAAACUUCCCCAUGAGAAAGUGUGUAUGAGAGACAGACGGGCAGAAUAAAUUAUAUACUUAUCAGAUGUCCGAUGACAAAACUAUGCACACAUAACGAUACUUUAAUGUCACACAUUGCCUGACAAGUGGAACAGUGAAUCCACUUUCUUCUUUUUGGUGCCAAAUAUGAGAAUCAGAGGCAAUAGAUCUGUCCACAGCACUUGCCUUUCCCAGCAUUUUGCAUGGUUGUGUGAAGAACCUCUUUAGAUCGUUGCUAACAUAGUGAGUGUAUGUGUAUGUGUGUGGCAGACGGCUCACUGUCUGCUGCUACAUACAUAGAGCCAAAUUUUAGGACAGAGCUUUCAUAAGCUGGUCAUUAUGGUAGAACUCAGGAGCAGAUGCCGCACUAAAGCCCUGCCUGAAAUUUGCUGCCUGCAAUCACCACCAGGACAUAUUGUCUGUAAUAUUUUUCAUGCAUUACUUUGGUAUAUAAUGACCCUUGGGUAUGGAAAAGCAAAAGAGAUUAUAUGAAUUUGCACUUAAAAAGCAAUAUGUUGCAAUUAAUGCAAGUAGUGUCUGUAGUAGUGUCUAUUUUCCAGGCAAUCUGCUCAAAAAGGCAACUUGUACUCGUCAACUGAACCUGAAACUGAAUGAAAAGUUUAGAUGCCUUGAAGAUUUUACUCACAAAAUUUUAAACACAGACUUGAAUGACUUUGGACCGUGUUUUUACGAUAUACAACUUUGAAAAUCUGCAACAAAAAGAGGCGUGCUUACUCGGACCAUCCCAGGCGUAGGUAUUCAUGUGGAAAUAAACUAUCUCUCCAGCACAGAAACAGAAAAGCACCUGAACUAUAUGAUUUAAUGUAGCUUGAACAAGGCUGACUUCUCCCAGGUUAGUAAUGAAGAAAGUGAUCAACCAGAACAAGGCAUAUGAGAAUUCCCUAUUGAAUUAUUCUGAUGAAUGAUAUUAUUCUGAACAUCUCUGUGACACACAUUUAGUUGUCAUCAGUGAAACCCUCUAUAAGAUAUGUGCUAAUCAAUAGUCUACCCUUACCUAUAGAUUUUCUCCAGGGCUAUCUUCAGGUGGUGCUAUAGCUUAUCAAACAACAAUGAUACAUAUCACUAUCGACCCAUCCUAAUCAAUAAUUCACUUCUAAGACCUAGGCCAUACCUGCAUAUUUUACAGCCCCUAAUGGCCAUAUCUAUCUGUCUAUUCCUGACAUUUCUGUCCCUGCAUCUUUCUCUGAUAUUGACUUAGCCAGAACUAAGGUAUAGUUGGUAUUGAGUAGAACAAUGUCUGGGAAAAAUGCUAUCGACUUGGACAGUAGGUAUUCAUCAAAGUCAAUCCCACUGAUAAUGAAAGUUCUUCACUGAAUAUCACAAGACACAUAUGAACACACGCUUAUCAACAAAUAUACCGAAUGAAGAUGGCAUGAGGAGAAAUUAGAUCAAGAUUAAGAUUUUUUUAUUUGUCACACACACAGUCAUACACAGUACAAUGUGCAAUGAAAUUCUCUUUGUCACUGCUACCAAAAAAUAGCUAAGUGAAAAUGAGUAAAAUGAUGGUGAUAUGAUAAAAAAUGCAUUUAUGGUGAAGUGUCAGUGAAUAUAUGGAUGUUUUGAAUGAGUCAAGGUCUUGGUGUUGUAGGGUGUCAUUAUGCUUAAGCUUAAGUUCAUUAAGUGUAUUUUAAGUGGUCAUGGUCACACCAGUUGGCAUCACCAGUUCUGUUGUACAGGUGUAAUGUUGAUGUGUCAUGAUUGUUGAUGUUGUUUUAGAGUAUAACUUGAAACAGAAAUAUAUAUUUUAGGAGCUUAAAAAAAACAUAUGAUAUAUUCACCGAUAUUCAUGUUCUAACCAUAACUAGAUAACUUAGAUAUUAGAUAAGCAUCCCUUAAGACACGUGGACAAACAAUGUAACGAUCUCACUUUUGCUAAACUGCCUCAUUCAUAUAUUCUGAAUUUCUGUACUGAAGUGCCUUGUCACACCGGCAGACAUACUUAGACAUAUUUGAUGCUCAAGCAAUUUAUCAGUUGUAGCCUAAUGACAGCAAAUGAUUUCUGUGUAUGAGUGUAAAUACAUAAAUUGAUCUAAAGGUCGCAGGAGGUUUGCUGUCAUUACACAUCGUGAAGUAAGAUCACCUUUUAAACUUUGCUAGGUUGAUACGCCGUUUAAACAUUGAAGAUGCAGUUUAAACAAUGGAGGUUAUACUGUGACAGCUUCACAGACUAAAGGUCACCCUAUGUAAAGAGUCACGUGCAGUGCUGUUAUCUUUGCGGUGAUCUGUUAAUAGACAAGACAUAGUGGAUGAAAACCUUUUCUGAGUAAUUUUACAUUUUAAUUAAACACAUAUGGAUUCCAACUCAAACUCAUGAGCAAAGGAGGUUCAUCAUUGCAUGACAGGUGCAAGCAACAUAUCAGUAAAGACAUCCAAAUAUCAUGUAUGUUAUUGCCAGUGCUCCAUAAAAAAGAAUAAACACUAAACCACGAUUACAAAGUUGUAGACUAAAUUGGUGGUGGUGCACCUUAACGUUUGUCGUCAUUAAAUGGUACAGAAGAAGAGUGAGUUCUUCUUCUUCUUCUUCUUCUUCUUCUUCUCCUGUUCGUUUGGUGAGCUAGCUCUAAAAUCGUGGUGGCAAUACUGAAAUAAACAAACAAAUAAAAAAAAAGUUUUCGACAAGAAAUUCCCGUGGGAAAAUGAGACUUUUCGAGACGAGGAGACACAACUAAAUGAAAGGCUACAACGCCAUGAACCUAAGGAGUAAGACUACAACACUACAAACUCCAGCAUUCAAGAAGGACGAAGACAGACUAAUUACAGUACAAGCUCAGUGCUGCAGACAGGAUGAGAAACAAGAGUGAAGAUAAAUUAACAUUUUACUCCCUGAAGUUUGAGAAGUGAAUUCUGAACUCUCCUCCCGUUGUGUCCCCCUGCAGUGCCUUUGGCCUAAAGCAAGGUCGUGAACCAACAAAAGACCAACCAGUAUCACCAUACCUGGUGAGAGCAUGGCUGAAACUGGAUAAUUCCACACUUUAUGUACAGGAGGGCAGGUAAGCAUAAUGGAUAAGCUAUGAAAAUAUUUGAUAUGUGAACAGAGACAACGUUAAAGUUAGAUUCAGACAGUCUUUUGUAUCAUUUCAUGCAUUUUGAGAAGCUUCAAGGCUGGAAUCAACGAGGCCUAAAUGACUCACAGAUUUCCAGUUUCUGCCUGACUAAGCAAUGAAUUUUCAUUCAGCUUUAAUACAGAGUGUUAGAUCCUUUUGAAAGAAACUGAUGUUUUCUGUGGCUGAGAUUUAUUCCAUAUGCCCCUUGUCUUUCUUGACUUCUAUUUCACCUGCAUUGUAAAUCAUUCUAAGCUGAUUAAACUCAAAUGGAAGCUCACCUGUUGUUGUAACAAUAUGAUGAGAGCAAAUGUAUUGUGGUUUUUUUUUUUCCACAUUCAGAAAAGUAGGGUCUCUGGGAAGUAGGCUUACCAGCAGAGUCUAAAAUUGCCACCUGCCAAAUUCUUAAUCUGGUUUGAUUUGCCCUUUGACGAGCAAAUCUCACACGGUUAUCCGUGGCACUGGCAGGUAAAUGUUUUUAGCAAAAUAGUCAUGUAACAAAAAGUCUGAAAGUUUGUCUGAAGGCAGCUGGACUUGCUUGAGGUUCUUGGAGAUGUUUCACCUCUUAUCUGAGAAGCUUCUUCAGUUUUGACUGGCUGGAGGGGAGUCCUGGGUGUUUAUCCAAUGUGUGGAUAAAUACAUGUGACAUAGAAUGACCUGGGUGACUGAGAACAUUCACAGACAUAACAAAAAGUCUCUCGUGUGUUUUGGUGUAAUUGAGGACUCACUGCUGGAGUUGGACAGGGUCUUCGUGGUGCAUUCAGUUGCACCUUGUUCUUGA